GUGAGGUAACGGCUCACCAAGGCAUCGACGGGUAGCUGGUCUGAGAGGAUGAUCAGCCACACUGGGACUGAGACACGGCCCAGACUCCUACGGGAGGCAGCAGUGGGGAAUAUUGCACAAUGGGCGAAAGCCUGAUGCAGCAACGCCGCGUGCGGGAAGAAGGCCCUAGGGUUGUAAACCGCUUUCAGCAGGGAAGAAAAUGACGGUACCUGCAGAAGAAGGUGCGGCCAACUACGUGCCAGCAGCCGCGGUGACACGUAGGCACCAAGCGUUGUCCGGAUUUAUUGGGCGUAAAGAGCUCGCAGGCGGCGUGUCGCGUCUGCUGUGAAAGACCGGGGCUUAACUCCGGUUCUGCAGUGGAUACGGGCAUGCUAGAGGUAGGUAGGGGAGACUGGAAUUCCUGGUGUAGCGGUGAAAUGCGCAGAUAUCAGGAGGAACACCGGUGGCGAAGGCGGGUCUCUGGGCAUUACCUGACGCUGAGGAGCGAAAGUGUGGGGAGCGAACAGGAUUAGAUACCCUGGUAGUCCACACCGUAAACGUUGGGCGCUAGGUGUGGAGCCUAUUCCAUGGGUUCCGUGCCGCAGCUAACGCAUUAAGCG
rnacentral:rRNA from 1 species